GUCGCUCCUACCGAUUGAAUGGUCCGGUGAAGUGUUCGGAUCGCGGCGACGGGGGCGGUUCGCCGCCCCCGACGUCGCGAGAAGUCCAUUGAACCUUAUCAUUUAGAGGAAGGAGAAGUCGUAACAAGGUUUCCGUAGGUGAACCUGCGGAAGGAUCAUUG
rnacentral:ncRNA from 1 species